UACGUAGGGGGCGAGCGUUAUCCGGAUUUACUGGGCGUAAAGCGCAUUAAGGCGGCCCGCAAAGUUGGUUGUGAAAUUUCAGGGCUCAACCCUGAAACUGCGACCAAUACUGGUGGGCUAGAGUGUGAGAGAGGAAGGUGGAAUUCCCGGUGUAGUAGUGAAAUGCGUAGAUAUCGGGAGGAACACCAGUGGCGAAGGCGGCCUUCUGGCUCACAACUGACGCUGUAGUGCGAAAGCGUGGGGAGCGAACGG
rnacentral:rRNA from 1 species